rnacentral:pre_miRNA from 1 species
AAAGACCGAAUUCUUCGGUUUUUGUGUUCAACGUUUGACUGUCCGUCUUAUAUAAAAUUUUUUUAUGAUUAGUAUUUUCAUUAUUGUUAGAUGAUAAAACAUGAAUAAUACUUUAUGCAUGACUUAUCUUUUAAAAUUUUUUUAUAAUUUUUUUAAAUAAGACGAACGGUCAAAUGUUAGACACGGAAACCCAGGAAUUGAGUUUUU